rnacentral:rRNA from 1 species
GAUGAACGCUGGCGGCGUGCCUAAUACAUGCAAGUCGAGCGAAUGGAUUAAGAGCUUGCUCUUAUGAAGUUAGCGGCGGACGGGUGAGUAACACGUGGGUAACCUGCCCAUAAGACUGGGAUAACUCCGGGAAACCGGGGCUAAUACCGGAUAACAUUUUGAACCGAAUGGUUCGAAACUGAAUGGCGGCUUCGGCUGUCACUUAUGGAUGGACCCGCGUCGCAUUAGCUAGUUGGUGAGGUAACGGCUCACCAAGGCAACGAUGCGUAGCCGACCUGAGAGGGUGAUCGGCCACACUGGGACUGAGACACGGCCCAGACUCCUACGGGAGGCAGCAGUAGGGAAUCUUCCGCAAUGGACGAAAGUCUGACGGAGCAACGCCGCGUGAGUGAUGAAGGCUUUCGGGUCGUAAAACUCUGUUGUUAGGGAAGAACAAGUGCUAGUUGAAUAAGCUGGCACCUUGACGGUACCUAACCAGAAAGCCACGGCUAACUACGUGCCAGCCGCCGCAGUAA